rnacentral:lncRNA from 1 species
CCUGGGAAUGGGGACAGAGGGGAUUUGGGGACAAAUCCCGGGGAUUUGGGGACCUGUGGAACUGCAGAAAUGUGGGAUUGGGAAUUUAUGGAAUUGGGGAUCCAUGGAAAUGCAGGAAUGUGGAAUUUGGGAUUUAUGGAUUUGGGGAUUGAUGGAAUUGGGGAUUGAUGGAAUUGGGGAUUGAUGGAAAUGCAGAAAUACGGAAUUGGGUGCCUGCAGAAAUGUGGAAUUGGGAAUUGAUGGAAAUGCAGAAAUAUAGGAUUUGGGGAUCCAUGGAAUUGGGGAUUUAUGGAAUUGCAGGGAUAUCGGUUUGGGGAUCCAUGGAAAAAAUGCAGGAAUUUCCAUUUGGGGACCUAUGGAAAUGGGGAUUUAUGGAAAUGCAGAAAUGUGGAAUUGGGGAUUUAUUCAAUUGGGGAUCCAUGGAAAUGCAGAAAUGUGGGAUUGGAGAUUUAUUAAAUUGGGAAUUUAUUCAAUUUGGGGAUCCAUGGAAAUGCGGGAAUGUGGGAUUGGGGAUUUAUGGAAUUGGGAAUUUAUUAAAGUGGGGAUCCAUGGAAAUGCGGGAAUGUGGAAUUGGAGAUUUAUGGAAUUGGGGAUUUAUGGAAUUGGGGAUUUAUUCAAUUUGGGGAUCCAUGGAAAUGCAGAAAUAUGAAAUUCGGGACCUGUGGAACUGCAGAAAUGUGGGAUUGGAGAUUUAUGGAAUUGGGAAUUUAUUAAAUUGGGGAUCCAUGGAAAUGCGGGAAUGUGGAAAUGGGGAUUUAUUGAAUUGGGGAUCCAUGGAAAUGCAGGAAUGUGGGAUUGGAGAUUUAUUAAAUUGGGAAUUUAUUAAAUUGGGGAUCCAUGGAAAUGCAGGAAUGUGGGAUUGGGGAUUUAUGGAAUUGGGAAUUUAUUCAAUUUGGGAUCCAUGGAAAUGCGGGAAUGUGGAAAUGGGGAUUUAUGGAAUUGGGGAUUUAUGGAAUUGGGGAUUUAUGGAAUUGGGGAUCCAUGGAAAUGCAGGAAUGUGGGAUUGGAGAUUUAUGGAAUUGGGAAUUUAUUAAAUUGGGGAUCCAUGGAAAUGCAGG